GAUGAACGCUGGCGGCGUGCCUAAUACAUGCAAGUCGAGCGAACGGACGAGAAGCUUGCUUCUCUGAUGUUAGCGGCGGACGGGUGAGUAACACGUGGAUAACCUACCUAUAAGACUGGGAUAACUUCGGGAAACCGGAGCUAAUACCGGAUAAUAUUUUGAACCGCAUGGUUCAAAAGUGAAAGACGGUCUUGCUGUCACUUAUAGAUGGAUCCGCGCUGCAUUAGCUAGUUGGUAAGGUAACGGCUUACCAAGGCAACGAUGCAUAGCCGACCUGAGAGGGUGAUCGGCCACACUGGAACUGAGACACGGUCCAGACUCCUACGGGAGGCAGCAGUAGGGAAUCUUCCGCAAUGGGCGAAAGCCUGACGGAGCAACGCCGCGUGAGUGAUGAAGGUCUUCGGAUCGUAAAACUCUGUUAUUAGGGAAGAACAUAUGUGUAAGUAACUGUGCGCAUCUUGACGGUACCUAAUCAGAAAGCCACGGCUAACUACGUG
rnacentral:rRNA from 1 species